GACGAACGCUGGCGGCGUGCUUAACACAUGCAAGUCGAACGGUGAAGCGCCUUCCUUUUUGGUGGGUGUGGAUGAGUGGCGAACGGGUGAGUAACACGUGAGUAACCUGCCCCCUUCUUCUGGAUAACCGCAUGAAAGUGUGGCUAAUACGGGAUAUUCUGGGUCUGUCGCAUGAUGGGUCUGGGAAAGAUAUUGUUUCGGUGGGGGAUGGGCUCGCGGCCUAUCAGCUUGUUGGUGGGGUGAUGGCCUACCAAGGCGGUGACGGGUAGCCGGCCUGAGAGGGUGGACGGUCACACUGGGACUGAGACACGGCCCAGACUCCUACGGGAGGCAGAAGUGGGGAGUAUUGCACAAUGGGCGCAAGCCUGAUGCAGCGACGCCGCGUGAGGGAUGGAGGCCUUCGGGUUGUGAACCUCUUUCGCCAGUGAAGCAGGCCUGCCUCGUUUGUGGGUGGGUUGACGGUAGCUGGAGAAGAAGCGCCGGCUAACUACGUG
rnacentral:rRNA from 1 species